rnacentral:rRNA from 1 species
UACAGAGGGGGCAAGCGUUGUUCGGAAUUACUGGGCGUAAAGGGCGCGUAGGCGGUCGUGCAAGUCGGAUGUGAAAUCUCGGGGCUCAACCCCGAAACUGCAUUCGAUACUGCGUGGCUCGAGUACUGGAGAGGAGACUGGAAUUUACGGUGUAGCAGUGAAAUGCGUAGAUAUCGUAAGGAAGACCAGUGGCGAAGGCGAGUCUCUGGACAGUUACUGACGCUGAGGCACGAAGGCCAGGGGAGCAAACGGG